AAGGGCGCAUGGAGGAUGCCUAGGUUCUCAGAGGCGAUGAAGGACGUGCUAAGCUGCGAAAAGCUACGGGGAACUGCACAGAAGUUUUGAUCCGUAGAUAUCCGAAUGGGGCAACCCGGCAGGUUGAAGACCUGUCACCGAGAGGAGCAAACCCGGGGAACUGAAACAUCUAAGUACCCCGAGGAAAAGAAAUCAACCGAGAUUCCCUAAGUAGCGGCGAGCGAACGGGGACUAGCCCUUAAGCUAGACAACUGGUAGGAGAAGGCUCUGGAAAGUGCCGCCAUAGUGGGUGAUAGCCCCGUAUCCGAAACCUGAGUCUGGUGAAAUCGAGUAGGACGGGACACGUGAUAUCCUGUCUGAACAUGGGGGGACCAUCCUCCAAGGCUAAAUACUCCUGACUGACCGAUAGUGAACCAGUACCGUGAGGGAAAGGUGAAAAGUACCCUGAGUAAGGGGGUGAAAUAGAACCUGAAACCGUGCGCUUACAAGCGGUCGGAGCCCACUAGUUGGGUGACGGCGUGCCUUUUGCAUAAUGAGCCUACGAGUUACCAUAUAUGGCGAGAUUAAGGUCUAGAGGACUGUAGUCGAAGCGAAAGCGAGUCUUAACAGGGCGAAUAGUCAUAUGUGGUAGACGCGAAACUUUGUGAUCUACCCAUGGCCAGGGUGAAGGUUAGGUAACACUAACUGGAGGCCCGAACCAGUACACGUUGAAAAGUGUUUGGAUGAGCUGUGGGUAGGGGUGAAAGGCCAAUCAAACUGAGAGAUAGCUCGUACUCCCCGAAAUGCUUUUAGGAGCAGCGUGUGGAGAUGUUUGUUAGAGGUAGAGCUACCGAUUGGACUAGGGGGAGUCAAAUCCUACCAAAUCCAGACGAACUCCGAAUGCUAACAAAUUAUCCAUGCAGUGAGGGUUAGGGUGCUAAGGUCCUAAUCCGAGAGGGAAAGAACCCAGACCUACGGCUAAGGUCCCUAAAUCCGCGCUAAGUUGAACUAAGGAGGUCCAAUUGCUUAGACAGCCAGGAUGUUGGCUUGGAAGCAGCCAUUCAUUUAAAGAGUGCGUAACAGCUCACUGGUCGAGCGAUAGGGCAUCGAUAAUAAUCGGGCAUUAAGUGCGGUACCGAAGCCUAGGAUAGUAAUAUGGUAGGGGAGCAUUCUCUGUGCGGAGAAGGUGUGCUGUGAGGCAUGCUGGAGCGCAGAGAAGCGCAAAUGUAGGCAUAAGUAACGAUAAUGCGGGCGAGAAACCCGCACACCGAUAGACUAAGGUUUCCCCGGCAAUGCUAAUCAGCCGGGGGUUAGUCGGGGCCUAAGGCGAACCCGAGAGGGGUAGUCGAUGGAUAAUCGGUUAAUAUUCCGAUACUACCCAUAACUGCGAUGGGGUGACGGAGGAGUGAAAGUCUCGCGUACUGACGGAAUAGUACGUUGAAGCGUGUAGGUAUAUUGGAUGUAGGCAAAUCCGCAUUCGAUGCUGAACGUGAUAGUACCACAACGCUACGGCAGCGUGGAUAGUAGACCUAAUCAGACUUCCGAGAAAACCCUCUAAGCUACAGGUUAUGGGUACCCGUACCGUAAACCGACACAGGUAGUCAAGGAGAGAAUCCUGAGGUGCUCGAGUGAUUCAUGGCUAAGGAACUAGGCAAAAUGACCCUGUAACUUCGGGAGAAGGGGUCCCUACGUGAGUAGGGCGCAGCGAAACGAUCCAGGCGACUGUUUAUCAAAAACACAUGGCUUUGCGAACUUGAAAGAGGAAGUAUAAGGCCUGACACCUGCCCGGUGCUGGAAGGUUAAGGGGGGGAGUUAGCUUCGGCGAAGCUCUGAACUGAAGCCCCAGUAAACGGCGGCCGUAACUAUAACGGUCCUAAGGUAGCGAAAUUCCUUGUCGGGUAAGUUCCGACCUGCACGAAUGGCGUAACGACUUCCCCGCUGUCUCCAACAUCGACUCAGCGAAAUUGAAUUGCCUGUCAAGAUGCAGGCUUCCCGCGGUUAGACGGAAAGACCCCGUGCACCUUUACUACAGCUUCACACUGGCAUCAGGCCAUGCAUGUGCAGGAUAGGUGGUGGGCUUUGAAACCAUGACGCCAGUCAUGGUGGAGCCUCCCUUGAGAUACCACCCUUGCAUUGCUUGAUGUCUAACCGCGGUCCGUUAUCCGGAUCCGGGACCCUGUGUGGCGGGUAGUUUGACUGGGGCGGGCGCCUCCUAAAGCGUA
rnacentral:rRNA from 1 species